AAACGAAACAAACGAACGAAAACAAACAAACGAACGAAAACAAACAAACGAAAACAAACAAACGAAAACAAACAAACGAAAACAAACAAACGAAAACAAACAAACGAAAACAAACAAACGAAAACAAACGAAAACAAACGAAAACAAACGAAAACAAACAAAAACAAACAAACAAAAACAAACAAAAACAAACAAAAACAAACAAACAAAAACAAACAAACAAAAACAAACAAACAAAAACAAACAAACAAAAACAAACAAAAACAAACAAACAAACAAAAACAAACAAACAAACAAAAACAAACAAACAAACAAAAACAAACAAAAACAAACGAACAAACGAACAAACGAACAAACGAACAAACGAACAAACGAACAAACGAACAAACGAACAAACGAACAAACGAACAAACGAACAAACGAACAAACGAACAAACGAACAAACGAACAAACAAAC